AAGGAGCUUGCUUCUUUUGGAUGAGUUGCGAACGGGUGAGUAACGCGUAGGUAACCUGCCUUGUAGCGGGGGAUAACUAUUGGAAACGAUAGCUAAUACCGCAUAACAGCUUUUGACACAUGUUAGAAGCUUGAAAGAUGCAAUUGCAUCACUACGAGAUGGACCUGCGUUGUAUUAGCUAGUAGGUAGGGUAACGGCCUACCUAGGCGACGAUACAUAGCCGACCUGAGAGGGUGAUCGGCCACACUGGGACUGAGACACGGCCCAGACUCCUACGGGAGGCAGCAGUAGGGAAUCUUCGGCAAUGGGGGCAACCCUGACCGAGCAACGCCGCGUGAGUGAAGAAGGUUUUCGGAUCGUAAAGCUCUGUUGUAAGAGAAGAAUGUGUGUGAGAGUGGAAAGUUCACACAGUGACGGUAACUUACCAGAAAGGGACGGCUAACUACGUGCCAGCAGCCGCGGUAAUACGUAGGUCCCGAGCGUUGUCCGGAUUUAUUGGGCGUAAAGCGAGCGCAGGCGGUUUAAUAAGUCUGAAGUUAAAGGCAGUGGCUUAACCAUUGUUCGCUUUGGAAACUGUUAAACUUGAGUGCAGAAGGGGAGAGUGGAAUUCCAUGUGUAGCGGUGAAAUGCGUAGAUAUAUGGAGGAACACCGGUGGCGAAAGCGGCUCUCUGGUCUGUAACUGACGCUGAGGCUCGAAAGCGUGGGGAGCAAACAGGAUUAGAUACCCUGGUAGUCCACGCCCGUAAACGAUGAGUGCUAGGUGUUAGGCCCUUUCCGGGGCUUAGUGCCGCAGCUAACGCAUU
rnacentral:rRNA from 1 species